UACGUAGGGUGCAAGCGUUGUCCGGAAUUAUUGGGCGUAAAGAGCUCGUAGGCGGUUCGUCACGUCGGCUGUGAAAUCCCGAGGCUCAACCUCGGGUCUGCAGUCGAUACGGGCGGACUGGAGUACAGAAGAGGUGACUGGAAUUCCCAGUGUAGCGGUGAAAUGCGUAGAUAUUGGGAGGAACACCAGAUGCGAAGGCGGGUCACUGGGCUGAUACUGACGCUGAAGCGCGAAAGCGUGGGGAGCAAACAGG
rnacentral:rRNA from 1 species